rnacentral:rRNA from 1 species
CAAUAGCGUAUAUUAAAGUUGUUGCAGUUAAAAAGCUCGUAGUUGAACUUUGGGCCUGGCAGGCCGGUCCGCUUUUUGGCGAGUACUGACCCUGCCGGGCCUUUCCUUCUGGCUAACCUCCCCUCUGGAGAGGCGAACCAGGACUUUUACUUUGAAAAAAUUAGAGUGUUCAAAGCAGGCCUUUGCUCGAAUAUAUUAGCAUGGAAUAAUAGAAUAGGACGUUUGGUUCUAUUUUGUUGGUUUCUAGGACCAUCGUAAUGAUUAAUAGGGACGGUCGGGGGCAUCAGUAUUCAGUUGUCAGAGGUGAAAUUCUUGGAUUUAUGAAAGACGAACUACUGCGAAAGCAUUUGCCAAGGAUGUUUUCAUUAA